rnacentral:rRNA from 1 species
AAUGGGCGAGAGCCUGAACCAGCCAUGCCGCGUGCAGGAUGACGGCCUAUGGGUUGUAAACUGCUUUUAUAUGGGAAGAAAAAAGCCUUGCGAGGCUAAUUGACGGUACCAUACGAAUAAGCACCGGCUAACUCCGCGCCAGCAGCCGCGGUAAUACGGAGGGUGCAAGCGUUGUCCGGAUUUAUUGGGUUUAAAGGGUACGUAGGCGGAUUUUUAAGUCCGUGGUGAAAGCCUGCAGCUUAACUGUAGAAUUGCCAUGGAUACUGAAGAUCUUGAGUUCAGUUGAGGUAAGCGGAAUUUAUGAUGUAGCGGUGAAAUGCAUAGAUAUCAUAAAGAACACCUAUUGCGAAGGCAGCUUACUGGACUUGAACUGACGCUAAGGUACGAAAGCGUGGGGAGCGAACAGGAUU